UGUUUUUUUGUUGUUUUUAUUUUGCUUUUGGGGGGGGUCAGGUUGUCCAAAAAUAUAUUUUAUGGUAUGCUGCAGAAUUUUAGUAAUUUAUAUGUGCCAUUAGAUGAAAAGGGUCGAAAAUUGCUGUGUUAAAGUACUCAGGGUUCUGUUUUUAAAAUCUCCUUGAUUGAUAUCCUUGAUAUGAUGCAUUCUUCAACAAUAAUUGUGUAUUUUAUUUCUAUUUUAAUUUGUAACAGUUUGGUUUUAGAGAGAUAGAAGAUAAGGGUUUUUUGUUUAUACAAUUCAGCCCAUGUAAUGUACAAUAAUGUCUUAGUCACCAACUGCAGAUUUUUUUGAGUUUGGAAAUCACCUGUAAGGCUAUUUGGCCCUAAUGGUUGCAGGAAUAAAAGAGAAAUAUAAGGCUGUAGCUGGUAUA